rnacentral:rRNA from 1 species
AUUGAACGCUGGCGGCAGGCCUAACACAUGCAAGUCGAGCGAGCGGCGGAGGGGGGAGUAAUGUCUGGGAAACUGUCUGAUGGGGGGGGAUAACAAUUGGAAAAGGUAGCUAAUACCGCAUACCAUCAGAUGUGCGCAGAUGGGGUUAGCUAGUAGGUGGGGUAACGGCGCACCUAGGCGACGAGACCUAGCUGGUCUGAGAGGAUGACCGGCCACACUGGAACGGAGACACGGUCCAGACUCCUACGGGAGGCAGCAGUGGGGAAUAUUGCACAAUGGGCGCAAGCCUGAUGCAGCCAUGCCGCGUGUGUGAAGAAGGCCUUCGGGUUGUAAAGCACUUUCGGCGGGGAGGCGUUACCCUCAGAAGAAGCACCGGCUAACUCCGUGCCAGCAGCCGCGGUAAUAC